GUCGACGGUGAAGAGGAGCUUGCUCCUUGGAUCAGUGGCGAACGGGUGAGUAACACGUGAGCAAUCUGCCCUUGACUCUGGGAUAACUGCGGGAAACUGUAGCUAAUACCGGAUAUUACCUUGGAAGGCAUCUUCUGGGGUGGAAAGAAUUUUGGUCAAGGAUGAGCUCGCGGCCUAUCAGCUAGUUGGUGAGGUAAUGGCUCACCAAGGCGACGACGGGUAGCCGGCCUGAGAGGGUGACCGGCCACACUGGGACUGAGACACGGCCCAGACUCCUACGGGAGGCAGCAGUGGGGAAUAUUGCACAAUGGGCGCAAGCCUGAUGCAGCAACGCCGCGUGAGGGACGACGGCCUUCGGGUUGUAAACCUCUUUUAGUAGGGAAGAAGCGACUGGGUUUUCCUGGAAGUGACGGUACCUGCAGAAAAAGCACCGGCUAACUACGUGCCAGCAGCCGCGGUAAUACGUAGGGUGCAAGCGUUGUCCGGAAUUAUUGGGCGUAAAGAGCUCGUAGGCGGUUUGUCGCGUCUGCUGUGAAAACCCGAGGCUCAACCUCGGGCCUGCAGUGGGUACGGGCAGACUAGAGUGCGGUAGGGGAGAUUGGAAUUCCUGGUGUAGCGGUGGAAUGCGCAGAUAUCAGGAGGAACACCAAUGGCGAAGGCAGAUCUCUGGGCCGUAACUGACGCUGAGGAGCGAAAGCAUGGGGAGCGA
rnacentral:rRNA from 1 species